UGGCUCAGGAUGAACGCUAGCGGCAGGCUUAAUACAUGCAAGUCGAGGGGCAGCGGGAGUAGCAAUACUGCCGGCGACCGGCGCACGGGUGCGUAACGCGUAUGCAAUCUACCUUUAACAGAGGGAUAGCCCCGAGAAAUCGGGAUUAAUACCUCAUAACAUUAUUGAUUGGCAUCAAUUGAUAAUCAAAGCUGAGGCGGUUAGAGAUGAGCAUGCGUGACAUUAGCUAGUUGGUGAGGUAACGGCUCACCAAGGCGACGAUGUCUAGGGGUUCUGAGAGGAUGAUCCCCCACACUGGUACUGAGACACGGACCAGACUCCUACGGGAGGCAGCAGUAAGGAAUAUUGGUCAAUGGGCGCGAGCCUGAACCAGCCAUGCCGCGUGCAGGAAGACGGCCUUAUGGGUUGUAAACUGCUUUUAUCGGGGAAUAAAUCUUUCUACGAGUAGAGAGUUGAAGGUACCCGAAGAAUAAGCAUCGGCUAACUCCGUGCCAGCAGCCGCGGUAAUACGGAGGAUGCAAGCGUUAUCCGGAUUCAUUGGGUUUAAAGGGUGCGCAGGCGGAUUAUUAAGUCAGUGGUGAAAUCUAACGGCUCAACUGUUAAGCUGCCAUUGAUACUGAUAGUCUAGAGUAUAGUUGAAGUGGGCGGAAUGUGUCAUGUAGCGGUGAAAUGCUUAGAUAUGACACAGAACACCGAUCGCGAAGGCAGCUCACUAAACUAAAACUGACGCUCAUGCACGAAAGCGUGGGGAUCAAACAGGAUUAGAUACCCUGGUAGUCC
rnacentral:rRNA from 1 species